CUGGUAGGUAAUAUGCUGUACUGUUGUUGACUGUAUGAAGUGGGCGGUUCUGUCCAAUUCAUGUAAUUUCUUCCGGUUGGAAAGAAUUUUCGGCUGUGCUGUGGUUCACAAAAUCAAGACAGUCUGCAAAGGAGGAGGUCGAUCCGGCUGCACUGCUCCUCCUUGUGUGUCUGCGAUGGCGUCGAGCCUUCUGCGUGUGGUGGCUAGCAGCUGCUCUGCUCCACUGUUCAGUGGGGUGGCCUUUGUUUCGCUGCAGGCUAGUGCCCGGUCAGUGAAGGCGCCAUGCCUGCGCUUCUUCAGGACUCAGCAAGCUCUCAACCGCUGCGCCAGUCCAGGUAUUCCCUAUAAGCAGCUGACAGUGGGUGUACCGAAGGAGAUCUUCCAGAAUGAGCGUCGUGUGGCUCUGUCCCCGGCCGGAGUGCAGGCCCUUAUCAAACAGGGCUUCAACGUGGUGGUGGAGUCUGGGGCAGGAGAUCCCUCCAAGUUCCCCGAUCAACACUACAUCCAGGCUGGAGCCACCAUCAAAGAUGUCAAAGAUGUCCUGGCCUCUGAUGUGCUGGUCAAGGUGCGUGCUCCCGUCUUCAACCCUGAGCUGGGAGCCCAUGAGGUGGAGCUGAUGAAGGAGGCAGCCACUCUGUUCAGCUUCAUCUACCCGGCCCAGAACCCUGAGCUGAUGGACAUGCUGUCCCAGAGGAAGGCCACUGUGCUGGCCAUGGACCAGGUGCCCCGUGUCACCAUCGCACAGGGCUACGACGCUCUCAGCUCCAUGGCUAACAUUGCAGGAUACAAAGCUGUGGUGCUGGCAGCCAACAGCUUCGGGCGCUUCUUCACUGGACAGAUCACUGCUGCUGGGAAGGUCCCACCUGCUAAGGUGCUGAUCAUUGGAGGAGGAGUAGCAGGCCUGGCUGCUGCUGGUACUGCCAGAUCCAUGGGUGCUAUCGUCAGGGGCUUUGACACUCGAGCGGCAGCCUUAGAGCAGUUCAAGUCUCUGGGAGCUGAGACUCUGGAGGUGGACAUUAAGGAGGCUGGCGACGGUCAGGGCGGCUACGCCAAGGAGAUGUCCAAGGAGUUCAUCGAGGCUGAGAUGAAGCUGUUUGCUAAGCAGUGUCUGGAAGUAGACAUCCUCAUCAGCACGGCACUCAUCCCCGGUCGCAAGGCUCCCAUCCUGAUCACCAAGGAUAUGGUGGAGAGCAUGAAGGAUGGCUCUGUGGUGGUGGACCUGGCUGCUGAGGCUGGAGGAAACAUUGAGACCACGGUGCCUGGAGAACUGUCUGUACACAAGGGUGUGACCCACAUUGGCUUCACCGACCUUCCCAGCCGCCUGCCCACCCAGUCCAGCACCCUGUACUCAAACAACCUGACCAAACUCAUCCGUGCCAUCAGCCCUUCUACUGAGAACUUCAACUAUGAGGUCAAGGAGAAGUUUAACUACGGAACCAUGGACCAUGUCAUCAGAGGAUCUGUUGUCAUGCAGAAUGGAACCAACCUCUUCCCAGCUCCUCUGCCCGAUAACAUCCCAGUGGCAGCCCCUCCCAAACCCAAGAGCAAGCAGGAGUUGGCUAAGGAGAAGGCUGCUGCCGUGUCCCCCUUCAAGGCUACCCUAACCACCGCUGGCAUGUACACUGGAGGUCUUGGCACCAUGUUAGGCCUGGGCCUAGCUGCGCCCAAUGCAGCCUUCACUCAGAUGGUGACCAUCUUUGGCCUGGCUACCAUUGUGGGCUACCACACGGUGUGGGGGGUGAGCCCAGCCCUUCACUCCCCACUCAUGUCCGUCACCAACGCCAUCUCUGGUCUGACAGCUGUGGGCGGUCUGUCUCUCAUGGGGGGGGAGGCUACGCCCCCUCCUCCUCUGCCGAGACCCUGGCUGUCGCGGCUGCCUUCAUCUCCUCAGUCAACAUCGCUGGUGGUUUCCUGGUCACCAAGAAGAUGUUGGACAUGUUCAAGCGUCCCACUGACCCUCCAGAAUACAACUAUCUCUACUUACUGCCCACCGGGGUGUUCGUUGGGGGUUAUGGAGUUGCCAUGCAGGCUGGCUACAACAUUGAACAGAUGAUGUACCUGGGCUCUGGUAUGUGCUGUGUGGGAGCCCUGGCUGGUCUGUCUAACCAGUCCACUGCCCGUCUGGGUAAUGCCCUGGGUAUGAUGGGGGUGGCGGGGGGCAUCGCUGCCACCCUGGGCUUCCUGAAGCCCACCCCGGAACUCCUGGCACAGAUGAGUGCCGCCAUGGCUGUGGGUGGCACCGCUGGGUUGGGUAUUGCUAGGAAGAUCCAGAUCACUGACCUCCCCCAACUGGUAGCUGCCUUCCACAGCCUGGUGGGUCUGGCUGCAGUGCUCACCUGCGUGGCAGAGUACAUGAUCGAGUACCCUCACUUUGCUACCGACCCGUCUGCCAACCUCACCAAGAUCAUCGCCUACCUGGGCACCUUCAUUGGAGGGGUCACAUUUAGUGGAUCCCUGGUAGCUUAUGGGAAACUGCAAGGUGUGCUGAGCUCCACCCCCCUCCAUCUUCCCGGGCGCCAUGCUAUGAAUGCUGGGCUAAUGGCCUCCAGUGUGGGCCUGAUGAUCCCCUACAUGCUGGACCCCAGCUACACCACAGGCAUCACCUGUCUGGGCUCUGUGUCCGCACUCUCUGCCGUCAUGGGCCUGACUCUGACAGCAGCCAUCGGGGGUGCAGACAUGCCGGUGGUCAUCACGGUGCUGAACAGCUACUCUGGCUGGGCCCUAUGUGCCGAGGGCUUCCUGCUCAACAACAACCUGCUCACCAUCGUAGGCGCCCUCAUCGGCUCCUCAGGGGCCAUUCUCUCGUACAUAAUGUGUGUGGCCAUGAACCGUUCCCUGGCCAAUGUGAUCCUGGGUGGGUACGGUACGUCAUCCACUGGGUCAGGAAAGCCCAUGGAGAUCGUAGGAACACACACAGAGGUCAACGUGGACCAAACUGUUGAAAUGAUCAAAGACGCCCAAAACAUCAUCAUCACUCCAGGUUAUGGUCUGUGUGCUGCCAAGGCCCAGUACCCCAUCGCUGAACUGGUCAAGAUGCUGCAGGAGCAGGGCAAGAAAGUCAGGUUUGGUAUCCACCCCGUGGCUGGUCGUAUGCCUGGGCAGCUCAACGUGCUAUUGGCUGAGGCGGGCGUACCCUAUGACAUCGUGCUGGAGAUGGAGGAGAUCAACGAGGACUUUGCUGAAACGGACCUGGUUCUGGUGAUCGGCGCCAACGACACGGUGAACUCUGCAGCCCUGGAGGAUCCCAACUCCAUCAUCGCUGGCAUGCCUGUCCUGGAAGUGUGGAAGUCCAAACAGGUGGUUGUAAUGAAGCGUUCUCUGGGAGUGGGCUAUGCUGCUGUGGACAACCCCAUCUUCUACAAGCCCAACACAGCCAUGUUGCUUGGAGAUGCCAAGAAGACCUGCGACGCACUGCAGGCUAAAGUCCGCGAGGCCAGCCAGUGAGUCGUGGCUGGUGCAGUAGGACCCGGGACCGUCAGACCGAGGUCCAGGGCAUCACACGUCCAGAGGGGGAGAGGAGUGGGCACAAACAAGCUAAUAGUUAGACGUAGCAUUAAUGUUGUCGUUUCCUCUCCUGGCAACAAGUUUUCCUCCCUUUUUUUCUGAACAGUUUUUUUGCGAUGAUGAUGAGUAGCUGUUCUCUUUCUCACCAGGAGCAUUUUCUUCUCACCCUCUUUUUCAAAGCAAGGAAAAAAGCAAGUGUCACCUUUUUUUACAUUUUAUUUUUAGAUUUUUUAAUGUUUGUUCAUUUUCCAGUUUUAUACUGUAGUUAGAUUUUUUGUAUUUGACCUGACCGAAUCGUACCACAAGUGUCAAAUUGAUUUGCAUUUAGCAACCUUUGCCUAGCAGCAACUGUUAACUUCAAUGUAAAGCCAUUGUCAGUAAUAGUUACUCUAAUCACUAACUGUAUGGGUUGUAUUUUUUCUUGAAUGCGUUUGGUGGACUGUGCUUAGUGUAAUGACCAGCUUUGUGAUGUAGUGGUAAUGUUUUACAUGUGAUUAGAGGCUUCAAGAAGAAGGAUUUAGUGAAUGUAGCUUCAGUUGGCCCUCCGCCACGCAGCUAAGUUUCCCCUUUUAACACUACAGAGAUGUUGAAGGAACCAUGUAGAUUUAAGUUUAAUAAAAGAUGAGUAUCAUAAUAUGAUUGUUAGAAUUUAUCAUAAAUUGUGAGAUUAUGGCUUAAUUUAGCAUGGAUACAUUUAUGAAUUGCUGAUUUGUCAAAUGGUUAGUUAGAGUCCUGCCAUGUCUGUGCCAAGCUCUUUCAUAUAUGCCUUCAUCUAGAAAGAAUCACUGUCUGAUGCGUCCUUACCGGGACCUUAUACAAUGCAACUCUAGAGAAACUGACCAUGACAACAUCCCUACCUCUGCAUAGCUUCCUAAAGCGACCAAAUUCACCUUCCAUUCUCUUCUUCGUAAACCAUUCUCUUCUUCCACUAAUACCGUCUUUCCAGACUUGUAUCUGUCUUGCUAUAUUUAGCUUUGCGUAGAAAGGUUAACAUAUGAAGGGUUGUUAUUCAGGUACACGUGGUGCCAUAGCAGACCUAGUUGGUGUUAAAUUGUAAUUUUCCCCAUUUCUGUCCAGUUUUCAGUCAUGAGGUAAAGUAAAGAACAACUCGAGGGAAACAAUUAUUUUAGAAAAUAAUAGUUGUGAAGAAAUGGCAAAAAAAAUUCCCACAAGUAUUUUUGUAUAGAGAAGAACCUAUUUGUAUAAUUGUUAAGGCUUACGCAGGCUUUGCUGCACAACAUUUUUCUAAUGUUCUAAUUUUCUAAUGUUGGGGAGAUGAAUGAAAUACUGUGAAUGUUUUUCUCUCUGGUUUAUCAUCCCUAAAUAAACCUUGAUUUAAUGGCA